rnacentral:rRNA from 1 species
GACGAACGCUGGCGGCGUGCCUAAUACAUGCAAGUCGAGCGAAGUGGAGAGAGCUUGCUCUCAAAGCUUAGCGGCGAACGGGUGAGUAACACGUGGGCAACCUGCCUGACAGACCGGGAUAACUUGGGGAAACUCAAGCUAAUACCGGAUAGGAUCGCGAAUCGCAUGGUUUGAGAUGGAAAGUCUGAACGACACUGUCAGAUGGGCACGCGGCGCAUUAGCUAGUUGGUAGGGUAAUGGCCUACCAAGGCGACGAUGCGUAGCCGACCUGAGAGGGUGACCGGCCAAACUGGGACUGAGACACGGCCCAGACUCCUACGGGAGGCAGCAGUAGGGAAUCUUCCACAAUGGACGAGAGUCUGAUGGAGCAACGCCGCUUGAGUGGUGAAGGUUUUCGGAUCGUAAAACUCUGUUGUCAGAGAAGAACGUGUGCGAGAGUAACUGUUCGUGCAGUGACGGUAUCUGGCCAGAAAGCCACGGCUAACUACGUGCCAGCCGCCGCAGUAA